rnacentral:rRNA from 1 species
CCCUGAAAAUGGAUGGCGCUAGAGUGUCNGACCUAUACCGGCCGUCUCGGCAAUCGAGUCUGGAAGACAGGCUGAGACGAGUAGGAGGGCCGCUGGGGUGAGCGUGGAAGCCUGGGAAGCGAUUCUGGGUGGAGCC